CCUACGGGAGGCAGCAGUGGGGGAUAUUGCACAAUGGGGGGAACCCUGAUGCAGCGACGCCGCGUGGGUGAAGGAGUGCUUCGGCAUGUAACGCCCUAUCGGAAGGGAAGAAGCAAGACGGUACCUGACUAAGAAGCCCCGGCUAACUACGUGCCAGCAGCCGCGGUAAUACGUAGGGGGCGAGCGUUAUCCGGAUUCACUGGGUGUAAAGGGAGCGUAGACGGCCAUGCAAGCCAGGGCUGAAAGCCCGGGGCUCAACCCCGGGACUGCCCUUGGAACUGUGCGGCUAGAGUGCGGGAGGGGCAGGCGGAAUUCCUGGUGUAGCGGUGAAAUGCGUAGAUAUCAGGAGGAACACCGGCGGCGAAGGCGGCCUGCUGGACCGCGACUGACGUUGAGGCUCGAAAGCGUGGGGAGCGAACAGGAUUAGAUACCCGUGUAGUC
rnacentral:rRNA from 1 species